CCCUUAGAUGUUCUGGGCCGCACGCGCGCUACACUGAUGCAUUCAACGAGCCUAUCCUUGACCGACAGGUCCGGGUAAUCUUUGAAUCUGCAUCGUGACGGGGAUAGAUUAUUGCAAUUAUUAAUCUUCAACGAGGAAUGCCUAGUAAGCGCAAGUCAUCAGCUUGCGUUGAUUACGUCCCUGCCCUUUGUACACACCGCCCGUCGCUCCUACCGAUUGAAUGGUCCGGUGAAGCGCUCGGACCGCGGCCUCUUGACGGUUUUCCGUCGAUUGGCUGUGGGAAGUUCGUUAAACCUUAUCAUUUAGAGGAAGGAGAAGUCGUAACA
rnacentral:rRNA from 1 species